rnacentral:lncRNA from 1 species
CCCUGCAUAUGAUGGGGUUGUGUACAUCGGGGUAAACAUCUCACAAUUGAUUCUCCUAAUGAACGUAGUGCUGACACUGACAUAUGCCAGAUGAAGGGACUGCUCUCUAUCAGUGGAAUGCCUAAACGCUUUGCCUUUCAGGUUUGUGCUACUCUAACCUAUAAUUUAUACCGGUGAAAACAAUGUCGUAAUUUCUUUUAGUGACAUGUUAAAAGGGAUACAGUGGGUCCAAACAGUCAUAUAAAUUUAUUUGUUGGUAGGAAAGACAUCUCUCGUCUAUAAAGAAAGCAGCCUAGCUAUCUUUCCUUUCAUUUUCUUAUUAUUCGCCAUUUCAAUCUUGGGUCUCCAUGCCCAAGCACAAGCUGUUACCUGAAUAAUCAAUUUAUUUUUACUUCUAAUCUAGAUCAAGGAUUAUGCUCUUGAUUCUAGAGUGCCAUCGGACAAUUGCUUGGCCUGUUUGAAGAUUCGUUGUACAUAUAAGCUUAUGCAAGUUUUUCUUUCAGAUUUGCACAAAUGGGAGAACAAAUUGCUACGUGUUCUGCUGCCCUCUCGUUAUGGACUGCUUCCAUGUUAUCCAUCUGCAAGGAGUGUGUAUGACACUUUACAUGGAUCUCCCAACAGAUCGAAUGUGCCGGGCUUCCAGGAUUGCCUACUGAAGGAAUAGGCCAGAGACACCAAGUUUCUCCGUUUCUCCGUUUCUUCUUUUUGGCGGCCGGGGUGGAUCUCCAGCUCCAUGAUCUUGAGCUUUGCGGCUGCAUCCA